UGGGGAAUUUUGGACAAUGGGCGAAAGCCUGAUCCAGCAAUGCCGCGUGUGUGAAGAAGGCCUUCGGGUUGUAAAGCACUUUUGUCCGGAAAGAAAUCCUUGGCUCUAAUACAGUCGGGGGAUGACGGUACCGGAAGAAUAAGCACCGGCUAACUACGUGCCAGCAGCCGCGGUAAUACGUAGGGUGCAAGCGUUAAUCGGAAUUACUGGGCGUAAAGCGUGCGCAGGCGGUUUGCUAAGACCGAUGUGAAAUCCCCGGGCUCAACCUGGGAACUGCAUUGGUGACUGGCAGGCUAGAGUAUGGCAGAGGGGGGUAGAAUUCCACGUGUAGCAGUGAAAUGCGUAGAGAUGUGGAGGAAUACCGAUGGCGAAGGCAGCCCCCUGGGCCAAUACUGACGCUCAUGCACGAAAGCGUGGGGAGCAAACAGGAUUAGAUACCCUGGUAGUCCACGCCCUAAACGAUGUCAACUAGUUGUUGGGGAUUCAUUUCCUUAGUAACGUAGCUAACGCGUGAAGUUGACCGCCUGGGGAGUACGGUCGCAAGAUUAAAACUCAAUGAAUUGACGGGGUCAUAGCUGUUU
rnacentral:rRNA from 1 species